UGCUUUCAGAGCAUGAUGUGUGUCAUUCCAUGGACCAGUAGAGUUCAUUUGGUUGAUCUGGAUGUCUAAGUAGGUGUCUCCUCCCUCUCUCAUUACUCCAUGUGCAUCCUUCUUGACGCUGUCUAAUUAGUGAAAAAGGACCUUCCCGGACAGAGAAGGGCCAUUCUUCAGUCAGGUGCUCACAAGUAGCUGCAUGCCCUUGCUAGAACUACCAAACUAGCUCAUAUCACACCUAUUCUCAGAGUCCCCUGGUGGAUUGUAUCUUAGUUCUUCUCUAGACUGCAUUGUAAGCUUCAUGAGGUUCCAG
rnacentral:snRNA from 1 species